rnacentral:rRNA from 1 species
GACGAACGCUGGCGGCGUGCUUAACACAUGCAAGUCGAACGGAAAGGCCCUGCUUUUGUGGGGUGCUCGAGUGGCGAACGGGUGAGUAACACGUGAGUAACCUGCCCUUGACUUUGGGAUAACUUCAGGAAACUGGGGCUAAUACCGGAUAGGAGCUCCUGCCGCAUGGUGGGGGUUGGAAAGUUUCGGCGGUUGGGGAUGGACUCGCGGCUUAUCAGCUUGUGGGUGGGGUAGUGGCUUACCAAGGCUUUGACGGGUAGCCGGCCUGAGAGGGUGACCGGCCACAUGGGGACUGAGAUACGGCCCAGACUCCUACGGGAGGCAGCAGUGGGCAAUAUUGCACAAUGGGCGGAAGCCUGAGGCAGCAACGCCGCGUGCGGGAUGACGGCCUUCGGGUGGUAAACCGCUUUCGCCGGUGACGAAGCGUGAGUGACGGUAAUGGGUAAAGAAGCACCGGCUAACUACGU